rnacentral:sRNA from 1 species
CGUGCUCAGGGACAAGCACGGGUCAUCAGGACGAUGAUCGGGAACAUCGCAAGAAGCGAUUCAUCAGGACGAUGAGUUGGGAAACAAAGGGACUAGGGACAAAAGAGUGGGCGGCGCAAGCCGCCCCUUUUUUU